CAGUAGCGUAUAUUAAAGUUGUUGCGGUUAAAAAGCUCGUAGUUGGAUAUCUGCUUAGACUUGACGUAUUGAUAAUUUCAAUAUCGGACAUGACUAAGUAUACUUUGCAGACACUUUGACACUUACAUGUCUUAGUGAACGCGAAAUUUCACCUUGAGGAAAUUAGAGUGCUUAACGCAAGUAAAUCGCUUUGAAUAUUUUAGCAUGGAAUAAUAACUUAGGACUUUGUAUACAUUAAACAAUUCUGUAUUCAAAGUAAUGUAUAAUAGAGGUAGUUGGGGGCAUUCGUAUUUAACUGUCAGAGGUGAAAUUCUUGGAUUUGUUAAAGACGAACUAAUGCGAAAGCAUUUGCCGUGGAUACUCUCUUUGA
rnacentral:rRNA from 1 species